GAUGAACGCUGGCGGCGUGCCUAAUACAUGCAAGUCGAGCGGACGGACGAGAAGCUUGCUUCUCUGGUGUUAGCGGCGGACGGGUAAGUAACAGGUGGAUAACCCUCCUAUAAGACUUGGAUAACUGCGAGAAACUGGAGCUAAUGCCGGAUAAUAUUUUUAACCGCAUGGUUGAAAAGUGAUUUCGGUGUUGGAUGAGCUCACUGCCUGUCUGCUGGUUGAUUAGGUAAUUGGUUAGGUAGCCGGCUACCAAGGGCACGACGCAUAGCCGGGCUGAGGGGGUGAUGGGCGACACUGGAGGUGAGACGCGGUCCAGACUCCUACGGGAGGCAGCAGUAGGGAAUGGUCGGCGAUGGGGGAAAGCUUGACGGAGGAGCGCCGCGUGGGUGAUGAAGGUCCGCGGAUCGUAAAACGCUGUUAUUAGGGAAGAACACAUGUGUAAGUAACUGAGCACAUCGUGACGGUACCUAGUCAGAAAGCCACGGCUAACUACGUG
rnacentral:rRNA from 1 species